GAACGGGUGAGUAACAGGGUGGGUGAUCUGCCUUGCACUUCGGGAUAAGCUUGGGAAACUGGGUCUAAUACCGGAUAGGACAGCUGUUUAGUGUCAGUUGUGGAAAGUUUUUUCGGUGCAAGAUGAGCUCGCGGCCUAUCAGCUUGUUGGUGGGGUAGUGGCCUACCAAGGCGUCGACGGGUAGCCGGCCUGAAGGGUGUACGGCCACAUUGGGACUGAGAUACGGCCCAGACUCCUACGGGAGGCAGCAGUGGGGAAUAUUGCACAAUGGGCGGAACGCCUGAUGCAGCGACGCCGCGUGGGGGAUGAAGGCCUUCGGGUUGUAAACUCCUUUCGACAGGGACGAAGCGUAAGUGACGGUACCUGUAUAAGAAGCACCGGCUAACUACGUGCCAGCAGCCGCGGUAAUACGUAGGGUGCGAGCGUUGUCCGGAAUUACUGGGCGUAAAGAGCUCGUAGGUGGUUUGUCGCGUCGUCUGUGAAAUUCCGGGGCUUAACUCCGGGCGUGCAGGCGAUACGGGCUGACUUGAGUGCUGUAGGGGAGACUGGAAUUCCUGGUGUAGCGGUGAAAUGCGCAGAUAUCAGGAGGAACACCGAUGGCGAAGGCAGGUCUCUGGGCAGUAACUGACGCUGAGGAGCGAAAGCAUGGGUAGCGAACAGGAUUAGAUACCCUGGUAGUCCAUGCCGUCCACGGUGGGCGCUAGGUGUAGGGGGCUUCCACGUCUUCUGUGCCGUAGCUAACGCAUUAAGCGCCCCGCCUGGGGAGUACGCCGCAAGGCUA
rnacentral:rRNA from 1 species